UUUUUUGAAGAAAAAACUUUUUGCAUUUAUAGGAAAUUAAGGAGUCAUCUAAACAAGAUACUGAGUAAUCAAACAGCAUAAUAUUAAUGGUAUGAAGCAGAUUGCACAAGCUACCAACACACAAAGGUCAAUAUAGAUUUUUGCUCAAGAGCUUAAAAAAGGGGGGGGAAAAAACCUUAAGUUCCAUCUAUGUUAAAAAGAAUCUUAUAGAAUCUAGAAACCCUUUUACAUCGGAGUCGGUCCGAUAGACAAACUAAAAUCAGAGCCUAAAACGCAAAUAAUCCCAGACAGACACAAGAAUGAACACUGUGUUCACCAAAUUUGCAACCACAUGACAUCCUUGAGACCUAUUCUCACUCAUUUCGCAAGCUAAGUUUGGCUGUUGAUGCCAGCUUUCUCUGCAACACCAACAACAUCAGCUACAGAAGUUUUUGAAGGCGGUGGCUCAGCACAUGCCUUCAAGACAGCUUCAUUCUGCCAAACCCUGAGGAGUCGCUUCUUGGCGUUGGCUUUACG
rnacentral:misc_RNA from 1 species